rnacentral:pre_miRNA from 1 species
GAACUACUCCCUCCGUCCCGAAUUACUUGUCGCAGGUAUGGAUGUAUCUAGAUGUAUUUUAGUUCUAGAUAUGCGACGAGUAAUUUGGAACGGAGGGAGUAGUAG